rnacentral:rRNA from 1 species
GUCCACGCUGUAAACGAUGAAUACUAGAUAUUGCAGGAUUUGACCCCUGCAGUGUCGUAGCUAACGCGUUAAGUAUUCCGCCUGGGAAGUACGGUCGCAAGACUAAAACUCAAAGGAAUUGACGGGGGCCCGCACAAGCGGUGGAUUAUGUGGUUUAAUUCGAAGCAACGCGCAGAACCUUACCUAGGCUUGAAAUCCCACGAACCUGCUUUAAACGGCGGGGUGCUCUUCGGAGAAUGUGGUGACAGGCGCUGCAUGGCUGUCGU